rnacentral:misc_RNA from 1 species
AACGGUCUAUACCUGCGGUACCUGCGGAAGGAUCAUUAUUGAUUUUAACAGGAUGUGCUGGCUCUCAAAGGGGGCAAUGUGCACUCCUAAUAAAACCAAUAUCCACCUGUGCACCUUAAGUAGACUAGUAGGACUCAUCACAGUCUUUCCAGUCUAUGUUCCUUCACAAACCUUUUUUGAAAUGUAAAUGAAUGAUCAUAUGUAUAAUUAAUAACAACUUUUAACAACGGAUCUCUAGAU